rnacentral:misc_RNA from 1 species
GGCCGCACUCGCCGGUCCCAAGCCCGGAUAAAAUGGGAGGGGGCGGGAAACCGCCUAACCAUGCCGAGUGCGGCCGCUUGCCAUGUGUAUGUGGGACGCGUUGCCACGUUUCCCACAUACUCUGAUGAUCCGCUAGCAAAGGCUCGUUGAGCUCAUUAGCUCCGAGCCCGAGGUACCGGAUCAUUCAUGGCAAGCGGCCGCGGUCGGCGUGGACUGUAGAACACUGCCAAUGCCGGUCCCAAGCCCGGAUAAAAGUGGAGGGUACAGUCCACGC